UAUACUGGGAAAGAUAGCCCAUGUACAGACAAGAAGGUCACAAACAGCACUGUGUGAUGAUUUAUCAUAAGGCAAACACUGAUGUCAGAUGAUGAAAUGCAUUACUGUCAGUCAUCCCAAAGCCCCGCCCUCCGAUCCAGAUUUUCCGCGUAAUCAUAGUAAACUCAUAAUUUAACCGUUUAUUGAGAAGCUUCUAGCUACUGAAUUGGACUCCCUCCUGGUGACAUCAAUUAUACAACACAAGAUUUCUUUUGAACUUCUUGGAAGGCAACAUUGAAAUCAUAGGCUAAAUGAGAUUAUCAGAGGCAAGAGUCUGAAGAGCAGAAAGGAAAGACUUGAACGAAUCUCAGGCAGGAACAUUUAGGGGACAGAAGGAGGAAGAAGAAGCCUCAAAGUAGACACAGAAGGCGCGGUCAAAGAGGUAGGUAGUUAUUACUUCCCUCAGGGGGUUAUUUCUGCUAGUUUCAAGACUGAGAACUACUGUCUUAGUUUAAUGAUAGAAAAUGAUGGAAAUAGCUAGGAGGAAGUACGUUGGUAAAUAUGGAUUAGGCCAAGGCAAAUUUGAUGAGCUGAAUAGAAUUUUUUUUUGGCAGCCAUUUACUUUUAAAACUUUUUUUUUACAAUGCUACUUCGAAACUGGCUUAUUUUCCCAAGCAUUCCCCACCCUAUUUUGAACAAAAGCAAUAGGCAGUAAUGCAUAAACAAUUCCUGGUAAAUUCUUAAAGCAUUCAGGAAUAUGACUUGAAGCUAAAUUUUAGACUUGAUUCAAAUAUGAAUUGAAUUACUAGCGACUGAUGUUAUAAAUUGACUUUGAAUUGAAAAUAGUCUAUUAAUUGAAUGACUUUAUCUUAGCUAUUAAUGUACUCUUUUCUUUUUCUAUAUUUUGUCUCUGAAAUACUAAUCCCUCUUUGCCCUCUGGUUUCCAAUCUGGUAAGUUAGAUAAUGUCAUUUUACUUUUUAAAAAUUCCAAUUUGACAUAAGUAACAUUUGUUUCUCUGACCUUUAAUAAUGCUUAAGUCACAGAAAUGCUAUUCUAUAUUUGGAUUUUUGGUGGGGGUUGAUAAACACACAGCAUAUUUCUAUUAUAUGAUUAUGUGAUAAUUUUAUAGAACACACACAAAAAAGGUGAAAAAAUAGCUAUUGCUCAACAUCAAAAGUUGUUUGUGUUGUCUUUUUUUGCUUUUGAAGUAUACUUCAUUUACAAUAUUAUACUAGUUUCAUAGGUACAACAUAUGACUCUGUAUUUUUAUAGAUUAUGCAUAGUUAUUAUAAAGUAUUGACUAUAUUCCCUGGGUUUGUUCACUCUUAAUAAAAGUAUGCAUAUUUCAUAGCCUGAAUAUUUUUUGCUAAUGUAGAUUUGUUCUCUUUGAAUAAUGAAUGGAGACUUUGGCAAAUUGCUUUUUAAUUGCAAAAAGUUUUUUCUUCAGUUGAUCUCUAUGAUUAAUUUCAACUGAUAUGAGAAACCCCAAAAAGAAUGUUAAUAAAUGCACAGACUAUUUAGAAAGUGUCAGUAAUCUCUAUACUUAUUUAUUAUGGUUAUUUUUAAAAGAACACUUUGAUUGGCUAAAAUUUUAAAAAGGAAUUGAUGUCAUAGUAAAUAUAUUAGGAAAAGAUAGCUAGAAUUAAAAAAGUUUUAAAGAUGAGAAAUACCCAAUGGGAAUUUAACAGACUGUUCUCCAAAAGUAAAUAAUCCACUCUCGUGCAAGACAAAAACAUCAAGUCUCCUAUUUAUAUUCAUUCCGUGCCUAAAAAAUAGAAAAGAAAUUCAGUUGUACCAGUCAUUAAUGUUGAUGUUUACACUGACUCCAUACUCGCUGUGUGUUAGGUCAUGGAUCACACAGUGAGGGCAAGGUGCACCAAGGGUGUACUGUGACAUCCAACGCUGCUCCAUCGCUCUUGGGUUCCCUUUCAGCAUUUGCCAUGUGUUGCAAU